UACGAAGGGGGCUAGCGUUGCUCGGAAUCACUGGGCGUAAAGCGCACGUAGGCGGAUUGCUAAGUCAGGGGUGAAAUCCUGGAGCUCAACUCCAGAACUGCCUUUGAUACUGGCGAUCUUGAGUCCGGGAGAGGUGAGUGGAACUCCGAGUGUAGAGGUGAAAUUCGUAGAUAUUCGGAAGAACACCAGUGGCGAAGGCGGCUCACUGGCCCGGUACUGACGCUGAGGCGCGAAAGCUAGGGGAGCAAACAGG
rnacentral:rRNA from 1 species